GACGAACGCUGGCGGCGCGCCUAACACAUGCAAGUCGAACGAGAGAGAGGGAGCUUGCUUCCUCAAUCGAGUGGCGAACGGGUGAGUAACGCGUGAGGAACCUGCCUCAAAGAGGGGGACAACAGUUGGAAACGACUGCUAAUACCGCAUAAGCCCACAGGUCGGCAUCGACCAGAGGGAAAAGGAGCAAUCCGCUUUGAGAUGGCCUCGCGUCCGAUUAGCUAGUUGGUGAGGUAAUGGCCCACCAAGGCAACGAUCGGUAGCCGGACUGAGAGGUUGAACGGCCACAUUGGGACUGAGACACGGCCCAGACUCCUACGGGAGGCAGCAGUGGGGAAUAUUGCACAAUGGGGGAAACCCUGAUGCAGCGACGCCGCGUGGAGGAAGAAGGUCUUCGGAUUGUAAACUCCUGUUGUUGAGGAAGAUAAUGACGGUACUCAACAAGGAAGUGACGGCUA
rnacentral:rRNA from 1 species